rnacentral:rRNA from 1 species
UACGGAGGGUGCGAGCGUUGUUCGGAAUUACUGGGCGUAAAGCGCGUGUAGGCGGCCUGCUAAGUCUGAUGUGAAAGCCCGAGGCUCACCCCCGGAAGUGCAUUGGAAACUGGUAGGCUCGAGUCCCGGAGAGGAGGGUGGAAUUCCUGGUGUAGCGGUGAAAUGCGUAGAUAUCAGGAGGAACACCGGUGGCGAAGGCGGCCCUCUGGACGGUGACUGACGCUGAGACGCGAAAGCGUGGGGAGCAAACAGG